rnacentral:rRNA from 1 species
UUGAAGGAGGAAGUCGUAACAAGGUUUUCUGUAGGUGGAACCUCGGAAGGAUUCAUUG